CGCGCCGCCUGCGCCGUUGACUGAGCCGUUGACCAGCCGUUGACGGGAGAAAGUAUCCGGUGCAUCUCAGCGCACCAGAUUCUGUAGAUCUGACCCGUCCAAAGUGUUUUUGCCAGAUCGGAGCCAUUCGGAGUCCGUUUUUGACGAUCCAAUAGUGCUUCCCAACUAUUUGGAGUAUUCCGGACACAUCUGUACGGUCAGUUUUUUGAAUUGAAGUUUCUAAAAAAUGGCAGAAUCUAGAGCAUCCGAGUCCGUAAGUAAUCCAGCCAGUACAAGCACUUCUAGGCAUUGGACCCCGGUGUCCCAUGCCAAGUUCGAGGUAGAGAAGUUCGAUGGAAGCAGCAACUUCGGCAUGUGGAGAUGCGAAGUUAAGGAUAUGCUUGUCCAAAUGAACCUGCACUUCACUCUGGGAGACAAACCAGAUGACAUGGACGAGAUAGAAUGGGAGAGGGUGAAUCUCC
rnacentral:sRNA from 1 species